AAGCGGCGCUAAUACCGCAUAUGCUCUGAGGAGGAAAGCGGGGGACCUGCAAGGGCCUCGCGCUCUGGGAGCGGCCGAUGUCCGAUUAGCUAGUUGGUGGGGUAAAGGCCCACCAAGGCGACGAUCGGUAGCUGGUCUGAGAGGAUGAUCAGCCACACUGGGACUGAGACACGGCCCAGACUCCUACGGGAGGCAGCAGUGGGGAAUUUUGGACAAUGGGGGCAACCCUGAUCCAGCCAUGCCGCGUGCGGGAAGAAGGCCUUCGGGUUGUAAACCGCUUUUAGUCGGGAAGAAAAGGCGUCCACUAACACUGGGCGUUCUUGACGGUACCGGCGGAAUAAGCACCGGCUAACUACGUGCCAGCAGCCGCGGUAAUACGUAGGGUGCGAGCGUUAAUCGGAAUUACUGGGCGUAAAGCGUGCGCAGGCGGUUCGUUAAGUUUGCGGUGAAAGCCCCCGGGCUCAACCUGGGAAUGGCCGUGGAAACUGGCGGGCUGGAGUGCGGCAGAGGGG
rnacentral:rRNA from 1 species